AAUUCUCAACCUUACCCGGUCUGUCCUUUUUUCAGGUCGGGCUAGGCUUGGAUGUGGGGGCUUGCAGGUCCGCCCUUGGGUGGUCUGCUCCUCUGAAAUGCAUUAGUGGGUUUGUGCCCCUCAUCUAUUGGUGUGAUAAUUAUCUACGCCGCUGGGUGAUGCAUCUAAACGAAACCUGCUCAUAACCGUCCGUCUCGGACAACUUUGAUCA
rnacentral:misc_RNA from 1 species